rnacentral:rRNA from 1 species
UACGAAGGGGGCGAGCGUUGUUCGGAAUUACUGGGCGUAAAGGGCGCGUAGGCGGCGCGAGAAGUCAGGCGUGAAAGCCCCGGGCUCAACCUGGGAGGUGCGCUUGGGACUCUUGUGCUUGAGACCGGGAGAGGUGAGUGGAAUUCCCAGUGUAGCGGUGAAAUGCGUAGAUAUUGGGAGGAACACCAGUGGCGAAGGCGGCUCACUGGACCGGAACUGACGCUGAGGCGCGAAAGCGUGGGGAGCAACAGG